rnacentral:rRNA from 1 species
AGAGUUUGAUCAUGGCUCAGGACGAACGCUGGCGGCGCGCCUAACACAUGCAAGUCGAACGAGCGAGAGAGAGCUUGCUUUCUCAAGCGAGUGGCGAACGGGUGAGUAACGCGUGAGGAACCUGCCUCAAAGAGGGGGACAACAGUUGGAAACGACUGCUAAUACCGCAUAAGCCCACGACCCGGCAUCGGGUAGAGGGAAAAGGAGCAAUCCGCUUUUGAGAUGGCCUCGCGUCCGAUUAGCUAGUUGGUGAGGUAAUGGCCCACCAAGGCGACGAUCGGUAGCCGGACUGAGAGGUUGAACGGCCACAUUGGGACUGAGACACGGCCCAGACGCCUACGGGAGGCA